AAUCAACGCUGGCGGCGUGCCUAACACAUGCAAGUCGAACGCGAAAGCCCCGCAAGGGGUAAGUAGAGUGGCAAACGGGUGAGUAACACGUGGGUGACCUGCCUUCGAGUGGGGGAUAACGUCCCGAAAGGGACGCUAAUACCGCAUGACAUCCUGCUUUUGAAAAAGCGGAGAUCAAAGCUGGGGAUCGCAAGACCUAGCGCUUGAAGAGGGGCCCGCGCCUGAUUAGCUAGUUGGUGAGGUAACGGCUCACCAAGGCGACGAUCAGUAUCCGGCCUGAGAGGGCGGACGGACACACUGGGACUGAGACACGGCCCAGACUCCUACGGGAGGCAGCAGUGGGGAAUUGUUCGCAAUGGGCGCAAGCCUGACGACGCAACGCCGCGUGGAGGACGAAGAUCUUCGGGUCGUAAACUCCUGUCGAGCGGGACGAACGCUUCGCGGAUGAAUAAUCCGCGGAAUUGACGGUACCGCUAAAGGAAGCCCCGGCUAACUCCG
rnacentral:rRNA from 1 species